rnacentral:rRNA from 1 species
GGGUUGUGAGGUUAAGCGACUAAGCGUACACGGUGGAUGCCCUGGCAGUCAGAGGCGAUGAAGGACGUGCUAAUCUGCGAUAAGCGUCGGUAAGGUGAUAUGAACCGUUAUAACCGGCGAUUUCCGAAUGGGGAAAAAAAGAAACAUCUUCGGGUUGUGAGGUUAAGCGACUAAGCGUACACGGUGGAUGCCCUGGCAGUCAGAGGCGAUGAAGGACGUGCUAAUCUGCGAUAAGCGUCGGUAAGGUGAUAUGAACCGUUAUAACCGGCGAUUUCCGAAUGGGGAAACCCAGUGUGWUUCGWCACACUAUCAUUAACUGAAUCCAUAGGUUAAUGAGGCGAACCGGGGGAACUGAAACAUCUAAGUACCCCGAGGAAAAGAAAUCAACCGAGAUUCCCCCAGUAGCGGCGAGCGAACGGGGAGSAGCCCAGAGCCUGAAUCAGUGUGUGUGUUAGUGGAAGCGUCUGGAAAGGCGCGCGAUACAGGGUGACAGYCCCGUACACAAAAAUGCACAURCUGUGAGCUCGAUGAGUAGGGCGGGACACGUGGUAUCCUGUCUGAAUAUGGGGGGACCAUCCUCCAAGGCUAAAUACUCCUGACUGACCGAUAGUGAACCAGUACCGUGAGGGAAAGGCGAAAAGAACCCCGGCGAGGGGAGUGAAAAAGAACCUGAAACCGUGUACGUACAAGCAGUGGGAGCACGCUUAGGCGUGUGACUGCGUACCUUUUGUAUAAUGGGUCAGCGACUUAUAUUCUGUAGCAAGGUUAACCGAAUAGGGGAGCCGAAGGGAAACCGAGUCUUAACUGGGCGUUAAGUUGCAGGGUAUAGACCCGAAACCCGGUGAUCUAGCCAUGGGCAGGUUGAAGGUUGGGUAACACUAACUGGAGGACCGAACCGACUAAUGUUGAAAAAUUAGCGGAUGACUUGUGGCUGGGGGUGAAAGGCCAAUCAAACCGGGAGAUAGCUGGUUCUCCCCGAAAGCUAUUUAGGUAGCGCCUCGUGAAUUCAUCUCCGGGGGUAGAGCACUGUUUCGGCAAGGGGGUCAUCCCGACUUACCAACCCGAUGCAAACUGCGAAUACCGGAGAAUGUUAUCACGGGAGACACACGGCGGGUGCUAACGUCCGUCGUGAAGAGGGAAACAACCCAGACCGCCAGCUAAGGUCCCAAAGUCAUGGUUAAGUGGGAAACGAUGUGGGAAGGCCCAGACAGCCAGGAUGUUGGCUUAGAAGCAGCCAUCAUUUAAAGAAAGCGUAAUAGCUCACUGGUCGAGUCGGCCUGCGCGGAAGAUGUAACGGGGCUAAACCAUGCACCGAAGCUGCGGCAGCGACGCUGAUGCGUUGUUGGGUAGGGGAGCGUUCUGUAAGCCUGYGAAGGUGUGCUGUGAGGCAUGCUGGAGGUAUCAGAAGUGCGAAUGCUGACAUAAGUAACGAUAAAGCGGGUGAAAAGCCCGCUCGCCGGAAGACCAAGGGUUCCUGUCCAACGUUAAUCGGGGCAGGGUGAGUCGACCCCUAAGGCGAGGCCGAAAGGCGUAGUCGAUGGGAAACAGGUUAAUAUUCCUGUACUUGGUGUUACUGCGAAGGGGGGACGGAGAAGGCUAUGUUGGCCGGGCGACGGUUGUCCCGGUUUAAGCGUGUAGGCUGGUUUUCCAGGCAAAUCCGGAAAAUCAAGGCUGAGGCGUGAUGACGAGGCACUACGGUGCUGAAGCAACAAAUGCCCUGCUUCCAGGAAAAGCCUCUAAGCAUCAGGUAACAUCAAAUCGUACCCCAAACCGACACAGGUGGUCAGGUAGAGAAUACCAAGGCGCUUGAGAGAACUCGGGUGAAGGAACUAGGCAAAAUGGUGCCGUAACUUCGGGAGAAGGCACGCUGAUAUGUAGGUGAAGUCCCUCGCGGAUGGAGCUGAAAUCAGUCGAAGAUACCAGCUGGCUGCAACUGUUUAUUAAAAACACAGCACUGUGCAAACACGAAAGUGGACGUAUACGGUGUGACGCCUGCCCGGUGCCGGAAGGUUAAUUGAUGGGGUUAGCGCAAGCGAAGCUCUUGAUCGAAGCCCCGGUAAACGGCGGCCGUAACUAUAACGGUCCUAAGGUAGCGAAAUUCCUUGUCGGGUAAGUUCCGACCUGCACGAAUGGCGUAAUGAUGGCCAGGCUGUCUCCACCCGAGACUCAGUGAAAUUGAACUCGCUGUGAAGAUGCAGUGUACCCGCGGCAAGACGGAAAGACCCCGUGAACCUUUACUAUAGCUUGACACUGAACAUUGAGCCUUGAUGUGUAGGAUAGGUGGGAGGCUUUGAAGUGUGGACGCCAGUCUGCAUGGAGCCGACCUUGAAAUACCACCCUUUAAUGUUUGAUGUUCUAACGUKGACCCGUAAUCCGGGUUGCGGACAGUGUCUGGUGGGUAGUUUGACUGGGGCGGUCUCCUCCUAAAGAGUAACGGAGGAGCACGAAGGUUGGCUAAUCCUGGUCGGACAUCAGGAGGUUAGUGCAAUGGCAUAAGCCAGCUUGACUGCGAGCGUGACGGCGCGAGCAGGUGCGAAAGCAGGUCAUAGUGAUCCGGUGGUUCUGAAUGGAAGGGCCAUCGCUCAACGGAUAAAAGGUACUCCGGGGAUAACAGGCUGAUACCGCCCAAGAGUUCAUAUCGACGGCGGUGUUUGGCACCUCGAUGUCGGCUCAUCACAUCCUGGGGCUGAAGUAGGUCCCAAGGGUAUGGCUGUUCGCCAUUUAAAGUGGUACGCGAGCUGGGUUUAGAACGUCGUGAGACAGUUCGGUCCCUAUCUGCCGUGGGCGCUGGAGAACUGAGGGGGGCUGCUCCUAGUACGAGAGGACCGGAGUGGACGCAUCACUGGUGUUCGGGUUGUCAUGCCAAUGGCACUGCCCGGUAGCUAAAUGCGGAAGAGAUAAGUGCUGAAAGCAUCUAAGCACGAAACUUGCCCCGAGAUGAGUUCUCCCUGACUCCUUGAGAGUCCUGAAGGAACGUUGAAGACGACGACGUUGAUAGGCCGGGUGUGUAAGCGCAGCGAUGCGUUGAGCUAACCGGUACUAAUGAACCGUGAGGCUUAACCUUACAACGCCGAAGGAAGCGGUCUG